UCCCUAGUGGCUCAGAUGGUAAAGAAUCUGCCUGCAAUGCAGGAGACACAGGUUCGAUCCCUGGGUCGGGAA
rnacentral:tRNA from 1 species